UGCAGUCGAGCGGUAACAGAUCUAGCUUGCUAGAUGCUGACGAGCGGCGGACGGGUGAGUAACGCGUAGGAAACUGCCGAGUAGUGGGGGAUAGCCCAGAGAAAUUUGGAUUAAUACCGCAUACGCCCUACGGGGGAAAGGAGGGGAUCUUCGGACCUUUCGCUAUUCGAUGUGCCUGCGUGAGAUUAGCUUGUUGGUGAGGUAAAGGCUCACCAAGGCGACGAUCUCUAGCUGGUUUGAGAGGAUGAUCAGCCACACUGGGACUGAGACACGGCCCAGACUCCUACGGGAGGCAGCAGUGGGGAAUAUUGCACAAUGGGGGAAACCCUGAUGCAGCCAUGCCGCGUGUGUGAAGAAGGCCUUCGGGUUGUAAAGCACUUUCAGCAGUGAGGAAAGGUUGUAAGUUAAUACCUUGCAGCUAUGACGUUAACUGCAGAAGAAGGACCGGCUAACUCCGUGCCAGCAGCCGCGGUAAUACGGAGGGUCCGAGCGUUAAUCGGAAUUACUGGGCGUAAAGCGCGCGUAGGCGGCUAGGUCAGUCAGAUGUGAAAGCCCCGGGCUUAACCUGGGAAUUGCAUCUGAUACUGCUUGGCUAGAGUACAGAAGAGGGUGGUGGAAUUUCCUGUG
rnacentral:rRNA from 1 species